rnacentral:pre_miRNA from 1 species
CCUUAUGGAUGAACAAAGAAAGUAGUUUCUUAAGAUGGAAUCUGCUCCUGGUGAAAAUACUGUGAA